rnacentral:sRNA from 1 species
AUUUAGCCGGACAUUUUUCUCUUCAGAUACGGUUAUCUUCAAGCUGUUAUUUAUAAUUUCGUACUCGCGAACAUUUCCGGCAUUUUAAUCCAGAAUUUCUUGUUCUUAUGGCGACCUUCGUAUGAUACCGGAGCCCACAAAAAAAAACCGCCAGAAAUUAUUGCCAGUCAACAAAGGAAAGGAAAACAAGGGGAGAAAUAUAAACACAGACGCAGAAAUCUUUUGGCCCUUUCCUUUACUUAAUUUAAA